UACGUAGGGUGCAAGCGUUAAUCGGAAUUACUGGGCGUAAAGCGUGCGCAGGCGGUUUUUGUAAGUCUGAUGUGAAAUCCCCGGGCUCAACCCGGGAACUGCGUCCGAUACUGGAGGGCUCGAAUCCGGGAGAGGGAUGUGGAAUUCCAGGUGUAGCGGUGAAAUGCGUAGAUAUCUGGAGGAACACCGGUGGCGAAGGCGGCAUCCUGGACCGGUAUUGACGCUGAGGCGCGAAAGCCAGGGGAGCAAACGGG
rnacentral:rRNA from 1 species